rnacentral:misc_RNA from 1 species
GAUGAAGAACGUAGUGAAAUGCGAUAAGUAAUGUGAAUUGCAGAAUUCAGUGAAUCAUCGAAUCUUUGAACGCACAUUGCGCCCGCCAGUAUUCUGGCGGGCAUGCCUGUUCGAGCGUCAUUUCAACCAUCAAGCCCCCGGCUUGUGUUGGGGACCUGCGGCUGCCGCAGGCCCUGAAAUGCAGUGGCGGGCUCGCUGUCACUCCGAGCGUAGUAGUUACAUCUCGCUCUGGGCGUGCUGUGGGUUCCGGCCGUUAAAAGCCUUAUUUACCCAAGGUUGACCUCGGAUCAGGUAGGAAGACCCGCUGAACUUAAGCAUAUCAAUAAGCGGAGGA